GGGAAUUUAUUGGGGCGUAAGCGGCGUCGUCAGGUCGGUUCUCUUAAGUCUGAUGUGAAAUCCCCCGGCUCAACCUGGGAGGUGUCAUUGAAAACUGGGAAACUUGAUUGCGUAAAAGGAGAGUGGAAUUCCCCGUGUAGCGGUGAAAUGCUAUAGAUAUGUGAAGGAACACCAGUGGCGAAGGCGACUCUCUGGACUGAUACUGACGCUGAGGAGCGAAAGCGUGGGGAGCGAACAGGAUUAGAUACCCUGGUAGUCCACGCCGUAAACGAUGACUGCUAACCGUUGGGAUCUUUCCGCCCCUUAUGGCUGCACUUAACGCAUUAGUCAAUCGGCCGGGGAAGUACGGCCGCAGGACUGAAAUUCAAUGGAUUGACGGGGGCCCGCCCAACCGGGGAACCAGGUGGUUUAUUUCAAAGCACCCCGAAAAACCUUACUGGGUCUUGACUUCCUCUGACUUUCCUAAAAAGGAGAGGUGCCCUUCGGAGCUCAAACGCCAGGGGUGGCUGGGUUGUCGCCACUUCGGGUCUGGAAAGGUUGGGUUAAUUCCCGCACCAAGCGCAACCCUUGAUCUUAUUUGCCACCCCUCAGUUGGGCACUCUAAGGAGACUGCCGGUGACAAACCGGAGGAAGGUGGGGAUGACGUCAAAUCAUCAUGCCCCUUAUGACCUGGGCUACACACGUGCUACAAUGGACAGAACAAAGGGCAGCCAAGCCGCGAGGUGAAGCUAAUCCCACAAAUCUGAUCGCAGUUCGGAUCGCAGUCUGCAACUCGACUGCGUGAAGCUGGAAUCGCUAGUAAUCGCGAAUCAGAAUGUCGCGGUGAAUACGUUCCCGGGCCUUGUACACACCGCCCGUCACACCAUGAGAGUUGGUUGCACCCGAAGUCGGUGAGUCUAACCUUUUAGGGAGCCCGGCUACCGAAGGAGGGAUCCAUGACUGGGGGUGAAGUCGUAACAAGGUAACCGUAUGGGAACGUGCGGCUGAAAUCCCCCUCCUUAAAGGGGGGGGGGGGGUCCCGCUCUCUGUU
rnacentral:rRNA from 1 species